rnacentral:rRNA from 3 species
CUUAAAUUGAAGAGUUUGAUCAUGGCUCAGAUUGAACGCUGGCGGCAGGCCUAACACAUGC